rnacentral:rRNA from 1 species
AUGCAGCUGCGUGGUUGCGCCUGGAGUGCGAGGAAGCGGGCGGGGGCAGCGGCGCUGAGGCCCGCUAGACUCCGGUGGAUGUGGCCCUUGGUCGCCGCCGUCCGAUGGUCUCUUCGUCCGACGAAUCAAGGCCGGAUUUGUAGGGUCCAACGGCGCGGGGUGGCUCUGGUGACCUUGCGCAAGGACGGCGCGCGUGGGGAAGACAACCACCAUGGCCAACCUAGUGGCGUCCCUGGGGCUCAGCAAUCACGAUGGGGUUCGAACUUUGCGGCCCGUGACGAGGCGGCCGUCGGCGCCAGAGAUCGACUCCCCUUGUCAACGUCUCCUUCCUAG